AACAGAACAAAGAGUUUGGGUUUAAAGAUCAGUUCAAGCAAAUAAUAUCUCUUUAUUACUCUCUCCUGAGUGAAAUCUAGACGGAGCUAGAUGUGGCCAUGUGAUUAAGUUCUAGCCAAUGAGAUGGAAAAGCUGUUGGGCAAGUCUUCUGAAAGGCUCCUUAAACCAUGCUGGAGAGCCAGUGAGGACCCUCCUGUUUCCUGUUAAAAUGAAGAUAUGAUGGCUGGACUUCCAGCUGCUGCUUGGACCUCAGACAACCUUGAUGAUGAAAGACACAAAUUAGGGUAGUGGAAAAGAAAGAAAGGAACCGUGGUCUGCGUUGGUUGUGGCUCUCCUAUACCAGACUUGGCAUGCCCACCUCCAGACUUCCUUUACAGGCAAGAAAAAUAACUUCCGUCCUACUUAAGCCACCAUUAUUUCCAGUCUCUGUUACUAGCAGCCACAUAUAUGUCAUAGGAGAGACAUUUUACUUCACCACAA